UCUCUCUCUCGUUUUGUUUAUUUCUUUCAUCUCUCUCUCUCCUCCUCACGCACACAUACAUUUAUAUGUAUAUACAGAUAUAUAUAUAUAUACACACGAAGACAAAUCGACUGUGCAAAAACAUCAUUUACGUCAAGUACGUCGAGGUUUAAAACUGUUUUUACCCACUCGCAGUCACAGACAAAAAAAAAAAUUGUCUAUUUUGCUCCUGCUUCAAUUCAGAUCAGGAACUGUUAAAAGAGAAAGAAAAAUAAACUUUAAAUUUACCUUUAGAGAGAUUCAAGCAUCAUAAAACAUGGCUGAACUUUGUCCUGGACUUCUUUGGGCUGUUGUCUGGUUUCUUCUGCUCAUAUUUGUUGGUUGGCCCUUGGGAUUUAUGAUUGCAUUUCUGUACAUCUUUCUCUUACCAUUUGGAGUCUGCUUGGAACCUAUAAAAGGUGUGUGUGAUGCAUUGCUGAAAGUGGUUCAAUUUCCACUGACCUUUGCUGAAAACAUGGUUGCUAUGAAAUCACCCUGCGGAUGAAAUGCUUGCUGUCUUGACCACUACAAGAAAUGGCCACAGCAAGGAAUAACCACAAGAAGAAAUGGCCACCAGCUUAAAAUAAUCACAGAACAAAAAAUAUAUAAAAA